CCUACGGGUGGCACCAGUGGGGAAUAUUGGACAAUGGGCGCAAGCCUGAUCCAGCCAUGCCGCGUGAGUGAAGAAGGCCUUCGGGUUGUAAAGUACUUUCAGCGGGGAGGAAGGCGAUAAGGUUAAUAACCUUGUCGACUGACGUUACCCGCAGAAGAAACACCGGCUAACUCCGUGCCAGCAGCCGCGGUAAUACGGAGGGUGCAAGCGUUAAUCGGAAUUACUGGGCGUAAAGCGCACGCAGGCGGUCUGUCAAGUCGGAUGUGAAAUCCCCGGGCUCAACCUGGGAACUGCAUUCGAAACUGGCAGGCUGGAGUCUUGUAGAGGGGGGGAGAAUUCCAGGUGUAGCGGUGAAAUGCGUAGAGAUCUGGAGGAAUACCGGUGGCGAAGGCGGCCCCCUGGACAAAGACUGACGCUCAGGUGCGAAAGCGUGGGGAGCAAACAGGAUUAGAUACCCCCGUAGUC
rnacentral:rRNA from 1 species